ACUUGGGAGAUGGCGCUUCAGUACUGCUUCAAUUACAAGUGUCACACAGAUCUCUGGAAGGGGCUACUGUGAUGUGAGCUAGCAAGCCAGAAAUGAUAAAAGUAAACGUUUCACUGUGAUGUCAACUGGGACCUCCCCAAAACACAUGUAAUUUAGGAAUCUGGCCAUGAUCUUUCUUUGAACUAUGUUCUCUCAACAGAGAAUACCAACAGCAUUGAUGGUGGGUGGCUCAGCAGUGGCUCAGGGAGGCCCUACCACACCAAAAACCACCAGUGACUUCCUGAAGGUGUUCUUUACACAGGCUACACAUAAAAAAAUGGGAUACCAAUUUAUAG